GCUUACAUAAAGUGUUUGUUCUACCUGGAAGAUGUUAAAGUGUAUUUGUGUUGAUUAUGAUUCUGUAUGAGUGAUCUUCACUGUAACAGCUGCAGCAUCACAACACAGAGAGGUUUUUGUACGAUCAGUAAUAGGGAUUGUAUCACUGUGGUACACUUUUGGUAGCGGCACCAGACUAGAUGUUGGAAGUAACAGUUCCCCCACCCUCACCGUCCUGCCACCCUCUAGUGAGGAGCUGUCCAGUACAACAACAGCCACACUGAUGUGUCUGGCCAACAAGGGCUUCCCCUCAGACUGGACCAUGAGCUGGAAAGUGGACGGGACCAGCAAGAAGCAGGAGGCCAGUCCCGGGGUCCAGGAGAAGGACGGCCUGUACAGCUGGAGCAGCACACUGACUCUCACUGCCCAGGAGUGGACCAAGGCAGGAGAGGUGACCUGUGAAGCCCAGCAGAAAUCCCAGACUCCAGUCACAAAGACCCUGAGGAGGGCUGACUGUUCUGGGUAGGACUCCUCAGUCACACCUCUGUGGAGAG